GUCGCCCCUUGAAUAACCGGUUGUUGUAUGUCAGACAUUUGCAUCCGGUUCAGACAGGGGCGCACAGCAAUCAGAAUCUUUUUGAGGGAAAGGAAUGCAAUUCAUUAACAUUCCUUUCUUAGAUUGAUUCUUAUAUUG
rfam:Ananas comosus cultivar MD2 ACMD2_Scaffold_8187, whole genome shotgun sequence.